rnacentral:lncRNA from 1 species
GUGAUCCACCAGCCUCGGCCUCACAAAGUGCUGGGAUUACAGGUAUGAGCCACCACGCCCAGCCUGCAAACAUAUGUUGAACUCUUUGCACAGUGCCCUGCAUGAGAUAGAUGACAGCUCCUUCUUCCAUGUUGUUAAUUUGGUGUGAGUAUAUGUUAUAUGUAUGUAUAUGCAAGAUAAUAAUCUUCUUGUAACCACUGACAGGCCUUUUUGUGAAUGAUGAUGGAAAAAGCAAGAACCUUGUCCAGGUUCCUCUCCAGGGAGCAGGGGUGGGUUGUGAUUCUUGAUUUCAUUCCUUUAGAUAUGAAGAGUUUUCACACAGAGGCAGCACGAAUUUGUCUCUCUCCUAGAGGGUGGGGAGAGUUGCUGGGUGGAUAUAACUGCAUCACAGCCUUUCUGGGUAAACUGGCCACUCCCUACUGAUUUGUUAUCAUGCUAAAUGUGUCUCCUCCCUUCCUUUCUGGAGCUUUUGCAGCUGUUCCUGGAAGGAGACCCAGUUGAAAGGGGUUGUUAUGGACCAGGAACAGCUGGGAUCUUUAAUGAUCUGUGAGCAGCUUACAGCAAAGUUCCAACACCCUGAGUAUCAGUCCCCAAAUCCUUGGUCUUUGCAUUCCAACACAAAGUAAAAAGGAUUGAGCAGGGUUUUGGUUUUGGUUGCAAGUAACAGAAACCCAACGCUAAUUAAUAAACGGGAAAGUGUGUCAGUGGAAAUGUAAGUAAGAAGAGAUUUCAUUUACUGGCCAAUUCAAAAGAUGACAAGCUUUAGGCGUGGCUCAGUCCAGUGGCUCAUGAUGUCUUCAGGACUCAGUGUUUCUCUGUUGUCAUCUCUUAGUUCUAUUAUUUUUUCUGUGUUGGUUCAUUAUGAGGUUUCCUUUAGAGGGUGGCAGAGAAAGCCACUAGUUGCUUCAAGUCUUUAUUUUACCAGCUCCACAAGUCCGACGGAAAGAGAAAACUGCUUUCCCAAAGGGUGUAAGAGGAUGAAAGGCAUGUCAUCAGCUGAAUUGCAUCAGGUGUCCAUCUUGGAAUCAAUCACGGUGCCUCUUAUUAGCAAAGCCUGAGUCAUAGGUGAGUCUAUACUUGGAUGGGGUAGUAAGGAAAUCCCAUGUUGAUUGCAUGGAUGGAAAGUGGGGGUGUUGUGGUUUCAUAAUGGCUUAUUAGGGUUCAAUAAUCAGAACACCAAAUAAUCCAUGCUGGGAGGUAAAAAUUGCAGAUAUUUUACUUUAUGCCCCAAACUAGACUUCAAAUCUGUGCUGCUCUUCCAAUCAUGAAUCCGCAGAACAGAGGAUAGAAAGUUCAGGUCAAUUCAAAUUUGACAAACACUUUCCGAGCACUUACUAUGUGCCAAUAUCCGUGGGAGGCCCUGGGAAACCAAAGAUGAAUGAAACACAAACUCUGAUGUCAGAGACCUCACAGUCUGGUGUUUAAGACGAUAAUAGUCUGGAUUAGAUUCUGGUGUGAUGAGAUGGAUUGUCUCAUAAAAAACAGAGGGAAGGGAUUAUUUAACUCUGAUGGGUGGCUGGGUGCUGAGAAGACCCUCAGAGGGUGUAACCUUUGAGUCUUAAGGAGGAUUAAGUUUAAAGGGGAUUUUGUUGGAGGAUAAGCAUCAAGGAAAGCAUUCCAGGAAGAGAGACGGGCAUAUGCAAAGGUAUAGUGUUGUGACCUCUGAUUAAAUAUGGAUGAGACAGGACAGGGAAAAACACACUUGUUAGAUUGUGGCAAAUGCCCAUGUGAAGUGAUUAAGUGACUGAAAUUGGGCAGAGGUGGUGUGCUGGUAGAUUCUAAGGUGACCCCAGUGAUCCAUGCCUUGUAAAAUCUUCUCCCCUGUGAGUGCUCCUUGGUGAGCAGGUGAUGUUAUAUUGGGAGAUUGACUAUAAGAAGGGGAGACUAUCUGUGUGGUCCUGGCCUAAUGACAUGAAUCCUUUAAGAGCAGAGCUUUCUCCAGCUGGUAGAAAAAGGGGAAGUAUGAGACUUAAAGGUGGAGGUGGCCCCAUGGAAAAGACCUAAGGGUAGCCUGCGGGAACUGAGAGAAAACCCCAACUGGCAGCCAGCAAGAAAACAGGGACCUUAAUCUUACGACCACAAGGAACUGGACUCUGCUACCAGAAUGAGCUGCAAGGGAGAUUCUUCCUCAGAAGCUUCAGAUAAGAACUCCACCUGGCUGACCUUUGAUUUUGGUUUUGUGAGAACUUUGGCAGAUAACCCAGGCAUGUGUCAUUUCACAUCUGCAUAAAAAGACAUGCUGAAGGAUGUUCCUUGCAGAAUGGUUAUAGAGAAAAAUGGGAAUAACCACGAUAUAAAGUAACAGGAUUUCAACAGUGAAGGAGACCUGAGAAACCAUAAAAUCAAUCUCUCAAAUUGAAGUUGAAAAAAGCAAAUCAUCUCUCACACCCACCCUGAUUGGUAAUAAUUAACUUGGCAAUACUUCAGUUACUCUUUCAUUAAGCAGUUCUCCUAGAUAUCGAAUUUAUGUUAGUUUAUUUAUUGGAUUCAUCCUAAGCAUUCAAGGUACUUUUGAAGGAUAUGAGGCAAACUGUUAGCAUCAUUUAACAUUUAUUGAAUUGUAGCAUCCACAUAACUUAGAGCAGACACAAGACUUAAUGAGAAAAGCAAGACAUUAUUCCUGUUUUAUAGAGAGUAACCAAGGCCAACAGGUAGAAAGAAGACUUGCCCAAAGUCAGACAGAAAAUGUUGAGAGGAGAUUAGGACCCACUUAGGUUAUUUUUGGUAGAUUGCUCUUUUCACUUAUACAUAGCUGAGUUUGCCAGGAAUAAAGAAAAUAUACUGAACAUGAACAGUUAAUUGAGAUGCUUAAGCGUAAACACAUGGAGGGGUGGUAGGUAAGCGCUUGUGUUGACUCAGCCAUCAUUCUGUUUGUGUGUGCCAAUCAGUCUCUGCCAGUUGGUAUCAGUCAUUAUCCAAUGAGAGAAAUGAGAGCUAGGAAAAGGGGAGUGAGCCCCGAUUAUCUUUUAUAAGUAUAUAAAUUGAUGGCUAUGGUAGGAUUUUUCUCAAUGUGGAAACUCGAAGUUCUGUGCCUAAGUUUUAUUUCAAGAAACAUUUUGUUUGUGUCAAUAGAUCCAGAGCCAAUGGGUUCAUUUAAAACUCUCUUUCAUGAUGGCAAUGAAUAAAAGAGGAUCCUAGACCAUCAGAAGAUUUUAGCCUUGGAGCUCCCCACCGUCCUAACACACACAGAUAGAGCUGGCUCCGAACUCUGCUGCUUCCAUGGUCGUGGCUACCUACUACUCUGUUCCUACUUCAUCUUCACUGUGAUUUUUGUCCAUAUGUCAGACUGAAGCAGACUGCUUAGGGCCUUGGGUUGAGGGAGCUUAUAGAACCUUGGGAACCAGGAACCCUUUAGGACCCUGUGAACUACAAGUCUGCUAUUUUAGGAAGUGGAUAAAAUGGCAUUUUGACAGAUCUGGAGGGUCUUGGAUCUACCUUUCAACAUUGGCAUUACUGAUAUUAGAGUACCACCACUCACUAGCUGUGGAGAUGUAGGAAGAUUACUUAACCACUCAGAGCCUUGGUUUCCUCAUUUGUUAUGUGAAGAUGACAAUAUCAGAUGACAGGUGAUACCAGGACUGCAGAGAGAGGUUUUCAUCUAGAACCCGGAAAGGAAAAAGUUGAGCCAUUAUCCGGAACUGAAGGAUGAGCUAAUUGGAUGGGGAGGCUUAGGGGCAUGGACAACCAGCUUGGAGUCUGAGUCGUUAUCCCACUGAGCCAUCAGUCUCAGGACAAGAGCGAGUGCCUUCACCUCAUUCCCUUAAAGCCUGUAGUCUGACCCACAACAGAAAGAGAGUUUCUGUUCUGCCACAUCUCGCUAUGUGUACUCAGGCAAUUUACUUAUCCCCUCAAGGACUUAGUUUCCUAAUCUGCAAAAUGGGUGACAGAAGAAUGAUCAGGUUAUUGGUGUCCACUGGAAGUCACUCAAGCACAAACAGAUGAACGGACUGGGAGCGUGGAAAAGAGCUAUGUUUUUGCUUUCCCUGCAUCCACCCACUGCUUCAUCCAGAGCAUUUCUGUUUCCUAUAUGGAUUAUGUGUCUGCAUCCCAGGGUGAUAUUAGGUCUGAACAAAGGACUUCAAAGCUAAGAUGGAAAACCCACUGGCUUUGGCAAUCUCUAGGGUUGCUUCUACUUAUUUUCUGUUUCUGUUUGUCAUGAAGUCACAUGAGAGAAUGUUGUACUGAAGACAUGAUGGGAAAGGGGCCCAAAUAGAAAUUAAUCUAAAAAACGAGUGUGCCAAGAAUAGAAGGGUUUUGGGUGAGGGGACCCUCAGGUCUUGCUUAGAAGGUGGUAGUGGAAAAUUCCACACCUCACUGGAAGGGGCUGUUUCUUCCUGCCUCCUUCACAUUGAUCUCUCUCAAAUGUAAAACCGAUCCUUCCCACCUCAGAAUUGGGCCAAAUCUGGUUUGAAGCAUCCAUUUCUUGUGAAGAGUCUGUCCUGUGGUGUGUAAUUUAAUUUAUAAUAUAUUAUCAAAGACAGUAUAAUAAAAAUAGGUGCUGCUGGUUGCCCUAAUUGGGAUACACGUUAUAGGAAAUCGUUCACAGAGUUUAAUCAAAGAGCCACACUGCAAGGAAAGUUACUACAAGCAUCUAGCUGUCUUUAUCUACAAUUGACCCCAGAAGUUUAGACAUUAGCAUGUUUUUAUAAUUGGGUUUACAUUGAUAAAAUUGCUGGUAUUCAAAAUAUGUGGCUUGGCUAGAACUAUGAUAAAUGUUAUAGAAACCCUUCUGCACUUGUUUAAGGCAAAAUAAUGCAGGGCACUCAGUAGUCCAUAUUCUUCGCAGUGGUACCAAAGCUUGAUUCUGAAACUGUCCUUUGUCUAGCAACUGAUUCUGAGAUUGCUGGAUUAAUCCUCAAAGAUUAACAGAGGCUCACGCCUGUAAUCCCAGCACUUUGGGAGGCUGACGCGGGUG